ACCCCUACGGGAGGCAGCAGUGGGGAAUAUUGGACAAUGGGCGAAAGCCUGAUCCAGCAACGUCGCGUGUGUGAAGAAGGCCUGCGGGUUGUAAAGCACUUUCAGUAGGGAGGAAGGUCUUAUUGAUAAUACCAAUAAGAAUUGACGUUACCUACAGAAGAAGCACCGGCUAACUCUGUGCCAGCAGCCGCGGUAA
rnacentral:rRNA from 1 species